UAACCACUCAAGCCUCGGCUUGGUCUUGGGGUUCGCGGUCUCGCGUCCCUUAAAAUCAGUGGCGGUGCCGUCUGGCUCUAAGCGUAGUAAUUCUCUCGCUAUAGGGUCCCGGUGGUUGCCUGCCAGAACCCCCCAUUUUUUAC
rnacentral:misc_RNA from 1 species